GUAGGGUGCAAGCGUUAUCCGGAAUCAUUGGGCGUAAAGAGCUCGUAGGCGGUUCAGCAAGUCGGCUGUGAAAUCCCGAGGCUUAACCUCGGAACUGCAGUCGAUACUGCUGUGACUAGAGUCCGGUAGAGGAGAAUGGAAUUCCCGGUGUAGCGGUGAAAUGCGCAGAUAUCGGGAGGAACACCAGUAGCGAAGGCGGUUCUCUGGGCCGGUACUGACGCUGAGGAGCGAAAGCGUGGGGGUAGCAAACAGGAUUAGAUACCCUGGUAGUCCACGCCGUAAACGUUGGACACUAGGUGUGGCGUUCCGACCAACGGGUGCCGUGCCGAAGCUAACGCAUUAAGUGUCCCCGCCUGGUAGUACGGCCGCAAGGCUA
rnacentral:rRNA from 1 species